rnacentral:rRNA from 1 species
GAUCAUGGCUCAGGAUGAACGCUAGCUACAGGCUUAACACAUGCAAGUCGAGGGGAAACGAUAUUGGAAGCUUGCUUCCGAUAGGCGUCGACCGGCGCACGGGUGAGUAACGCGUAUCCAACCUGCCCACCCACUUGGGGAUAACCUUGCGAAAGUAAGACUAAUACCCAAUGAUAUCUCUAGAAGACAUCUGAAAGAGAUUAAAGAUUUAUCGGUGAUGGAUGGGGAUGCGU